CCGGGCAAGGCCAAUCACUGACCUCCAUGGUAAAGGAGUCUCAACAUCUGGGCAAUGAUGUCAUGGGACAGGGAAUGGGAUCAUAAUGGUCAUGUUCCUCUCUAUGUGGACAAAGAAGGUUCAGAAAGCAAGUCUACUGUGUGAUCAGCAAUAGGAAUUUUAGAAAACAAUUCUUAUACGCUACAUUCCCUACCAGCUACCUUAGUGUUGGCCGAGCUCUCCAGCCCCUCUGUCUUAUGCUGGUUUCUAGUCAUGCCAGUUGAGCUAUGUGCUAGGAAAAUGAAGACUGCAUUGAUAGGAGCACACAGCAAGAAGAGCUGCUUUCAAUCAACCAAGCCAUCAAUAUCUAUUGAUAUGAAACAUGGCUAGGUCUCAUUAAAAGAACAGCAAAGUAUCGAUACCAACACAAGACUACUUAUGAAAUCAAACAAACCUCCCUAAGCUGAUUUGACAAGAAGCUGGAGUGAAUGAGCUGAGAAUUUGGAAAAGCCAAAAGUGGACUCAUUGAAAAUUGAAAACCAAUGCAGAACCUGGACUUCCCCGUGAAAGCUGUCUUUUUCCAUAGGACCACAGCCACCUAGUGCCUAUUUAGCUCUUUGAAUUUGGCUGGGAAAGACAGGAGGAGUGACAAGGCCAGUACAUAGACAUCUGGGGACACUGGGGUGAGGAGGGCUCUUCAGAGAAACUUUCAGUCCCGGGGAGACUUCAGCUGCUACCAACUGUGCAGGGACAAAAGAAGAGCAAUCCAGGCACUUGGUGCAGGCAAAGAGCUCAAAGUAGUUCUGCAGACACAAGGCCAGGGAGGAGUCAAGAGCUGGACACACAGCUUUUUGAGUCAAGAGCUGGACUCACAGCUUAGGGGAAAAGUGGAAAAUGUCAAUUCCUCACAAGUGACAACUUCAUGCAGAAUUCUGACACAGUGAGAGAAGACUUGUAGGGGAGGGAGGUAAGGAUAAUGAGAGGGGAAGGGAGAGGAGGACAGGGAAUGGAGAAGAGAGGACUGAAAAGAAGGGGUCCUUAAAAGCAAGGAAGGAGCCUCCUGGUGGAAUUGAACCCUCACCAUGCCUGCCAGCAGCAAAUCAGUUACUUCUUGAUCAGGUAAAAUGGCCAUGUGAUCAAGGAACAAAAACAGCGAAUCAGGAUAGAAUUAAACAUUUCUAAAAUGAUGCUGUUCAUCCGUGCCCCUUAAGGAUCCACAAGUGGCACUGACCACGUCCUUGGACACUGGCUGACAUAACUCUAGCUACCUUCCUCAUCUCGAGAGCAUGCUUUAGGGAGCGAGUGCAACG